UGGGGAAUAUUGCACAAUGGGGGAAACCCUGAUGCAGCGACGCCGCGUGAGCGAAGAAGUAUUUCGGUAUGUAAAGCUCUAUCAGCAGGGAAGAAGAAUGACGGUACCUGACUAAGAAGCACCGGCUAAAUACGUGCCAGCAGCCGCGGUAAUACGUAUGGUGCAAGCGUUAUCCGGAUUUACUGGGUGUAAAGGGAGCGCAGGCGGUGCGGCAAGUCUGAUGUGAAAGCCCGGGGCUCAACCCCGGUACUGCAUUGGAAACUGUCGUACUAGAGUGUCGGAGGGGUAAGUGGAAUUCCUAGUGUAGCGGUGAAAUGCGUAGAUAUAGG
rnacentral:rRNA from 1 species